UAAUAAUAAGAAAAAAAAAAUUGUCUCAACCUGAGCUAAGCUGUUGUUGUUAAGUUCUUUUUUAUUUCCUUUUGACUAAAUAAAAAAAAAAAGUAGUAUAUUACACAUUUAAAAUUUUAAGACUGCUACAUGCCUAACUAAGACUGGGGACCAUUGACAGAUGUCUGGUAUUAAUUGCUUGAAACAUUUUUUGUUUUGUUUGUUUUUCGUUGUUUUUUUAUUAGAAAUAUAAUUCAUAUUUUAUUUCCCAAGUUUACAAUUUUGUGUUAGUUGAAAAAAAUCAGCUUUAUAGGAGUAUUUUUAGUAACAGACAUUAGACUAUUGGACAUUCUCUGAAGGAGCUAGAACUGGUAGUCUGUGUAGUCUUAAUAUUUUAAAUAUUUUUUUUUAAAUUUAAAAUCUGUGAUUUUUGCUCUAAAGAAUAUUCUUCUAGAAUUUGUUCAUUAAAACACUCGAGCUAGUAAAAAUGUUCUAAAAGACAAAAUGAAUAUUGUUGUGUACAUAACAUAUUUCAAAUAAAUGAUUUAAAUAUU